rnacentral:rRNA from 1 species
CGGGUGAGUAACACGUGAGAAUUUGCCUUUAGGAGGGGGAUAACAGAGUGAAAACGCUGCUAAUACCCCAUAUGCUUUCGAGUGAAAUGGAUUUAUUCGCCUAAAGAGAAGCUCGCGGCUGAUUAGCUUGUUGGUAAGGUAAUGGCUUACCAAGGCGACGAUCAGUAUCUGGUUUGAGAGGACGAUCAGACACACUGGAACUGAGACACGGUCCAGACUCCUACGGGAGGCAGCAGUGGGGAAUUUUCCGCAAUGGGCGAAAGCCUGACGGAGCAAUACCGCGUGAGGGAUGACUGCCUAUGGGUUGUAAACCUCUUUUCUCAGGGAGGAAAUCAAUGACGU